rnacentral:rRNA from 1 species
UCAACUUCGUAACGGCGGUGGAAACUCCAAGACUAGAGCUAGGUAGGGGUCACGGGAAUUAUCCCAGUGUAGCGGUGUUAUGCGUAGAUAUUGGGAAGAACACCAGCGGCGAACAGCGCGUGACUGGGCCUGAGCUGACACUCAUGGACGAAAGCUAGGGGAGCGAAAGGGAUUAGAUACCCCUGUAGUCCUAGCCGUAAACGAUGACAACUAGGUGUUGCCGUAAGUAUCGACCCGGGCAGUGCCGUAGCCAACGCGUUAAGUUGUCCGCCUGGGGAGUACGCACGCAAGUGUGAAACUCAAAGGAAUUGACGGGGGCCCGCACAAGCGGUGGAGUAUGUGGUUUAAUUCGAUGCAACGCGAAGAACCUUACACCUCAAGGCUUGACAUGUCGCGAAUCUUCUUGAAAGG